UGUAUAAGAGACAGACACAGCACUGUGCAAACACGAAAGUGGACGUAUACGGUGUGACGCCUGCCCGGUGCCGGAAGGUUAAUUGAUGGGGUUAGCGGCAACGCGAAGCUCUUGAUCGAAGCCCCGGUAAACGGCGGCCGU
rnacentral:rRNA from 1 species